ACAACAACAUUCGGACCGUCGGUCUACCGAGCAACAUCACCCGCUCGGUGGAAGAUCUUCCUUUCGUCGUAUAUA
rnacentral:pre_miRNA from 1 species